CUACGGGAGGUACCAGUGGGGAAUAUUGCACAAUGGGCGCAAGCCUGAUGCAGCCAUGCCGCGUGUAUGAAGAAGGCCUUCGGGUUGUAAAGUACUUUCAGCGGGGAGGAAGGGAGUAAAGUUAAUACCUUUGCUCAUUGACGUUAACCGCAGAAGAAGCACCGGCUAACUCCGUGCCAGCAGCCGCGGUAAUACGGAGGGUGCAAGCGUUAAUCGGAAUUACUGGGCGUAAAGCGCACGCAGGCGGUUUGUUAAGUCAGAUGUGAAAUCCCCGGGCUCAACCUGGGAACUGCAUCUGAUACUGGCAAGCUUGAGUCUCGUAGAGGGGGGUAGAAUUCCAGGUGUAGCGGUGAAAUGCGUAGAGAUCUGGAGGAAUACCGGUGGCGAAGGCGGCCCCCUGGACGAAGACUGACGCUCAGGUGCGAAAGCGUGGGGAGCAAACAGGAUUAGAUACCCCCGUGUC
rnacentral:rRNA from 1 species